rfam:Pseudomonas sp. VI4.1 NODE_9_length_136522_cov_23.748, whole genome shotgun sequence.
UCGUAAGUCGGUGCACGGCACUCAGCCUGCAGCGGCGAGCUUCGUUCGUCCCAUAUGGAUGUGACGAGGUUUCACCAGAAAAAGGAA